UACGAAGGGGGCUAGCGUUGCUCGGAAUUACUGGGCGUAAAGCGCACGUAGGCGGUCUUUAAGUCGGGGGUGAAAUCCUGGAGCUCAACUCCAGAACUGCCUUCGAUACUGGAAGACUUGAGUCCGGGAGAGGUGAGUGGAACUGCGAGUGUAGAGGUGAAAUUCGUAGAGUAUUCGCAAGAACACCAGUGGCGAAGGCGGCUCACUGGCCCGGUACUAG
rnacentral:rRNA from 1 species